rnacentral:lncRNA from 1 species
GUAAAUCACAGAUGUUUGUUUUCAUGGUGUUUUAAAUUCCAGUGACUUCCGGAAGGUGGGAGCCUGCAGGCAUGGCGGAAGAGACCACUGAGUUAUGGAUCAUAAAUCACUGGGGCCACUUGUGGAACCCAGCCUAAAAUCGCCAGCAGCCAAGAUGAGGCUGCCGGCUGUCCCCUGUCGUUACGCCUUGUGAGGUGACGGAGAACAAGGGGUCAGAAUCACCCUAACAAGGCUGCAUCCACUGCUACUGGAAGGAGGCUGGAUGGCGCGGUCAUGCUUCCUAUGCACAGGCAUACAGUUUGCCUUCCCCUUAGGCCACUGUGGGAUGAGAAUUCCAGGAGAAAACGCAGGAAGGAUGCUUGUUAUUUAAUAACAAGCUUGAGGAAAUCACAACAGAGAGGAGGAAGCAAACAGGCUGACAAGUCAGGAUGGCAGCGUGGGGGCCAGCGCCCCCAGUUCACCCACCAUGGGCAUGAUCCAGGAGGCCAGGCAGGGCUGGAAUUAAGAGCACAGGUUUUGGAGUCUCCCAAUCUCACCUGGAAUUCCAGCCGCACCUCUUACUACACACUGGCCUUGGGUAAAUCAUUCUGUCUCUCCAAUACUUAGUGUUCCUUAUCCACUAGGGGGAUUAAAUGAGAUUCCGGAGUGCCCAGCACACAGCCCAUCAAGACCUGUAGGUGUGCCACACUCCACGUUGUCACCAUGACAUCAGCAACCCCUCCUCUUCCCCCACGGAGUCUUCCCCACUUUCUGAAGUCUGAAGAACUGGGACUGGAACAUGUCCAAGGGGCUGCUCGUCACUGCCGGAGGGAUAACUGUUCAGACACUGUCGUCACACAGUCACAGAAAGACUCAGAACUUCAUUGCUACUUUAUUUGUUGUUUUCUGCCUUUAGGAUACUUCCUUAUGAUAAAAAAUGUGA